AAAAAUCAGAGAAAGUAAAAAAUAAACAAAACAAAAACAAACAAAAUAAAACAAAAUAAAACUGCCAGUGAGAAGUAUGCAUAGCUUCAAAUCCCUUACGCUACCCUGCUUGGAUUUCCUCAAGUUCAUCCAUCCCCCUCCUUUUCUUCCCCCUGUUUUUCUUUAACAUUUGUCCUCUGAACCACUUUCCCUAUAAAUACCCUUUAAGGGCUGUGGAAUUAAGGGUAAAAUCCUUUCAGUCUGAGACCGGGUCUCCUUAGUCAGGGAACAGCCCAUCAGAGAGAAAUCCUUCUUCCUGCACAAGCUUUCCUUUAAUGAUGGCUAAUUAACCUGGUGCUGUGUUAAAAACUUACCAUAUUUAUCAUGUCUGACUCAGUUCUUAUUCAUUGCUAUUUAAGAGAACAACAGAGAUAACUUGCCUUACUUUCAUCUGUGUUCAUGUAGUUUGGCUUGGCUAGAGGGUUAAACGAACUCCAAGCCUUUAGUUCUCUUAGAUCAUGUACAGGAUGCUGAUAGUUUUACCAGAUUUGUCUGGAUCCCUCGUGCAGAGUCAGGACUUCCCUGUUCUUUAGAUCAGCACUUUCCUGGCUGAGCUCCAGCUCAGCCUCCACACUAAAAUGACAGCCUGUAUCUGGAAAGAAGCCAGUCAAGUCCUCCCAGCACUCACAGGGGAAUCCUUCACUCCAGUGAAAUUCCUACUGGGAAGAAAUGAAAAUAAAACCCAAACAUCUACCUGAUGCAAAAGUAAUAUCAUCUAUAUUCAAUAUAUAUUGUUUUUCUCUUCCUCUGAAAACUUCCCUGUUUGAAAAGAUGCCAGAUCCAGUUCAGUUUUUAAAUAAAUAGAUAGAUAAAUAAAAAUCUGAUCUAUAUCCAGCUAUGCCUUGAUUGAAUUUGGAUCCAUCGCUGAAUUAGGUUCGGCAGAACAGUCACACAGUGACCAUCACAGACCUCACCUGAGGAUGUCCGCCUGGCUAAGAUUGCUUCUACACUUGCCCAAGAAGAGGCUGAGGAGGGGAACUGGAAGGGAAAGGAAGGGAUGGACCAGGGGCCUGUGGAAGCAUAUAUAUACAAGCUUAAGCUAACCUUACCCUACUGCAGAGUUAAGUUAGCACAGUCCCCAUGCAGUUCUGAUUACAGGACUUGGCUAGUGCAAAAAUAGCUGGCACCAGGUUCAGUUUCUUCCUCUUCUGCUAAACAGUGCUUUCAUGUGAAGAGAAAUUGACCCCAGCACUCAGUAACAUUUUCAUCCUCCCUUCCCUGCAGUUCAGUGGUUAUGUAAGUAGUAAUAAAUCCAUAUUUGAAGUACUGUUGACUGCCUUAGAAUUUAAGCAGUAAAGGAAAUAAAGUAAUGCAGCCCUUACACAGUUAAACAUGCUGUCUAAUGUUGGGAAUAACUAAAAGCAUGGUUGACUCAGGAACUAAAUAAAACUAACGCACCACUGUAUCAUUUUUUAUAAUCCUUAUUAGUAGAAACCAGGAACAAGUGUGCAUGUUUGCACAUGAC